UACGUAGGUGGCGAGCGUUGUCCGGAUUUACUGGGCGUAAAGGGAGCGUAGGCGGACUUUUAAGUGAGAUGUGAAAGCCUUCGGCUUAACCGGAGUAGUGCAUUGGAAACUGGGAGACUUGAGUGCAGAAGAGGAGAGUGGAACUCCAUGUGUAGCGGUGAAAUGCGUAGAUAUAUGGAAGAACACCAGUGGCGAAAGCGGCUCUCUGGUCUGUAACUGACGCUGAGGUUCGAAAGCGUGGGUAGCAAACAGG
rnacentral:rRNA from 1 species